UUCACAUCAGUUAAAUUUGUUUCUAUUUAAUUUUUAAAUUUCAAACAACUUGCUUUCUGUUUUGUUCAGGUACCUACACAGUCCUCUUCAGACACCAAACUCAGGAUGCCGUACAUCACAGAUAUUGAUGUUUCCAUUUAUCCUGAAGAGGAGCAAGGCCUAAGGAACCAAGGUUUCCAAGGAAUCAAUGUUGAUUUAAACAAAGGCACUAGCGGAAACCAUAUUUACCUCUGGUACAAGAACGGCAGCAGCAAUCCCAUCACCAGAUUGCAGGUUACAUUCAGAGAUGACAUGCAAAUUGGUUUGAGAAAUGCAGGUUACCAUAAGGUGGAUAGAGACCUCAAAGCAGGGGCUGGAGGAGAUAACAUCUUUCUCUGGUACUACAAAGGUACAACUGAGUAUGACAACCCUAUAGUGGAUCUUAAGGUCACACGCCAGUCGUUCCCAGCCUUUCUGGUAAAUUUGGGCUUCAUCUGUUGCAUCUGUGGUGACCUUAAGUUCCACUAUAGGGUUGUCAUACUCAGUUGUACCUUUGUAGCACCAGAGAAAGAUGUUAUCUCCUCCAGCCCCUGCAUUGAGGUCUUUAUCCACCUUAUGGUAACCUGCGUUCCUCAAACCAAUUUGCAUUUCAUCUGUGAAUGUAACCUGCAAUCUGGUGAUGGGAUUGCUGCUUCCCUUCUUGUACCAGAGGUAAAUAUUAUUUCCUCCAGCACCUUUGUUCAGAUUAACAUUGAUUAUUUUGAAACUUUGGUUUCUUAGGCCUUGCUCCUGUUCAGGAUUAAUGGAAACAUCAAUAUCUGUGAUGUACGGCAUCCUGAGUUUGGUGUCUGAAGAGGACUGUGUAGGUACCUGAACAAAACAGAAAGCAAGUUGUUUGAAAUUUAAAAACGAAAUAGAAACAAAUUAAACUGAUGUAAAUACAUAAGUCAGAUACACAUAGAGUUAACUAAAAAUAGUAGACAACUUAUCAAAUGUUGAAACUGAGAAAUGUUAUUGUUUUUGGAAAACUACAUGCCCUUGAAUUUGAUGCCAGCAACAUGUUUCAGAAAGGUUGGGGCAGGGGCAUGUUUACCACUGUGUUGCAUCAACUCUUCUUUUAACAAUACUCUGUAAGCGUUUUGGAACAGAGGAGACCAAUUGCUGUAGUUUUGAAAGUGAAAUGCAUUCCCAUUCUUACUUGAUAUAGGAUUUCAGCUGCUCAGCAGUUCGGGGUCUCCUUUGGGGUAUUUUCUGUUUUGUAAUAUGCCAAAUGUUUACAAUGGACGACAGGUAUCGACUGCAGGCAAGCCAGUUUAGCUCCCAGACUCUUUUACUACGGAGCCAUGCUGUUGAAAUAUGUGCAAAUGUGGUUUGGCAUUGUCUUGCUGAAAUAAGCAAGGCCUUCCCUGAAAAAGAUGUCGUUUGCAUGUAACGGCAUAGGUUUGUUUAUUUUACCUAAUAUCAAGGUGUGCAUAAUUAUUAAGCAGCUUCAUGACCUCAGGUAAAAUGGGCCAAAAAACUGAUUUAACUGACACUGAAAAGUCAAAAAUUGCAAAAUGCUUUUCAGACGGAAGCAGCACUCUUGAAAUAGCUAAACGAUUGAGGCGUGACCACUAGACAAUUAAAGGUUUUGUUGCAAAUAGUCUACUGGGGUGCAAAAAAAGCUUUGAGAAGAAAAGACGCAAAUUAACUGCAAACGACUUGAUUAAACGUGAAGCUUCCAGGAACCAAUUAUCCUCCAAUGCAAUCAUAUUCCAGAACUGCAACCUGCCUGGAGUGUCCAGAAGUACAAGGUGUCAAAUGCUCAGAGACACAUUUUUAUUUGUCAGAACACAGGACAGUUUUCCACUUCGACUCAGUUCAUCUAAAAUCAGCUCGUGCGUUUCUGGAUGUUUUUGACAUAAUAAUGAACCCAAAAUCGAAUUAUGUUCAAAAAACGUAUCAUGUUUUGUGCAUUACGGGUAAUGCAUUACAUUGUGAGCAUAUAUUGCAUUAUGCAUGCAAAAACUAUUAUGAUACUAGCAAGUGUAACAUUUUAGGCAUUUUAUCAGAUCCUGUAGAAGCUAAUAAUGUAAUAACCACCAAUCAUGUAAUAACUGCUAAUAUUGUAACAAUUUUAGCAUUUUAUGUUACAAGUAACGUUAGUGAAAUAACAUGCCCAUAUAUAUUUGAAAAUAUAUGCUUAGCAAUCCCAUAUGGAAAUACAUAUAUUUUUGCAAUGCAUAAUGUAUGUAGAAUAAAUGAUGAAUAUAUGUCGAAUAUAUUAAUCUUAAUUCAAAAUACCUUUCAGAUAUCAAAAUGUAUUUCAC
rnacentral:lncRNA from 1 species